rnacentral:rRNA from 1 species
GACGAACGCUGGCGGCGUGCUUAACACAUGCAAGUCGAGCGGUAAGGCCCUUUCGGGGGUACACGAGCGGCGAACGGGUGAGUAACACGUGGGUGACCUGCCCUCAGCUCUGGGAUAAGCCUGGGAAACUGGGUCUAAUACUGGAUAUGACUCCACGGUGCAUGUCGUGGGGUGGAAAGCCUUGUGCGGCUGAGGAUGGGCCCGCGGCCUAUCAGCUUGUUGGUGGGGNGAUGGCCUACCAAGGCGACGACGGGUAGCCGGCCUGAGAGGGCGACCGGCCACACUGGGACUGAGACACGGCCCAGACUCCUACGGGAGGCAGCAGUGGGGAAUCUUGCGCAAUGGGCGAAAAGCCUGACGCAGCGACGCCGCGUGAGGGAUGACGGCCU